rnacentral:rRNA from 1 species
AAUGAACGCUGGCGGCAUGCCUAACACAUGCCAGUCGAACGGCAGCACAGUAAUAGCUUUCCUUUACGGGUGGCGAGUGGCGGACGGGUUAGGAAUACAUCGGAUUCCUCUUUUUCGUGGUGGAUAACGUAGGGCAACUUCCGCUAAUACCUCAUACGUCCUACGGGUGAAUUCAGGAGAUCUUCCGACCUUGCGUGAUCUAAUGAGCCGUGGUCGGAUUAGCUAGUUGGCGGGGUAACGGCCCACCAAGGCGACGAUCCGUAGCUGGUCUGAGAGGAGGAUCAGCGACACUGGAACUGAGACACGGUCCAGACUCCUAGGGGAGGCAGAAGUGGGGAAUAGUGGACAAUGGGGGCAAGCCUGAUCAAGCCAUGCCGCGUGGGUGAAGAAGGGCUUCGGGUUGUAAAGCGCUUUUGUUGGGAAAGAAAAGCUGCAGGAGGAUACACGGCUGUUGUGACGGUACCUAAAGAAUAAGCACCGGCUAACUACGUG